rnacentral:rRNA from 1 species
GACGAACGCUGGCGGCGUGCUUAACACAUGCAAGUCGAACGGUAAGGCCCUUCGGGGUACACGAGUGGCGAACGGGUGAGUAACACGUGGGUGAUCUGCCCUGCACUUCGGGAUAAGCCUGGGAAACUGGGUCUAAUACCGGAUAGGACCCUGGGAUGCAUGUCCUGGGGUGGAAAGCUUUUGCGGUGUGGGAUGGGCCCGCGGCCUAUCAGCUUGUUGGUGGGGUGCUGGCCUACCAAGGCGACGACGGGUAGCCGGCCUGAGAGGGUGACCGGCCACACUGGGACUGAGAUACGGCCCAGACUCCUACGGGAGGCAGCAGUGGGGAAUAUUGCACAAUGGGCGCGAGCCUGAUGCAGCGACGCCGCGUGAGGGAUGACGGCCUUCGGGUUGUAAACCUCUUUCAGCACCGACGAAGCGCAAGUGACGGUAGGUGCAGAAGAAGGACCGGCCAACUACGUGCCAGCCGCCGCGGUAA